rnacentral:rRNA from 1 species
GACGAACGCUGGCGGCGUGCUUAACACAUGCAAGUCGAACGGAAAGGCCCUGCUUUUGUGGGGUGCUCGAGUGGCGAACGGGUGAGUAACACGUGAGUAACCUGCCCUUGACUUUGGGAUAACUUCAGGAAACUGGGGCUAAUACCGGAUAGGAGCUCCUGCUGCAUGGUGGGGGUUGGAAAGUUUCGGCGGUUGGGGAUGGACUCGCGGCUUAUCAGCUUGUUGGUGGGGUAGUGGCUUACCAAGGCUUUGACGGGUAGCCGGCCUGAGAGGGUGACCGGCCACAGUGGGACUGAGAUACGGCCCAGACUCCUACGGGAGGCAGCAGUGGGGAAUAUUGCACAAUGGGCGGAAGCCGGAUGCAGCAACGCCGCGUGCGGGAUGACGGCCUUCGGGUUGUAAACCGCUUUCGCCUGUGACGAAGCGUGAGUGACGGUAAUGGGUAAAGAAGCACCGGCUAACUACGU